UACGGAGGGUGCAAGCGUUAUCCGGAAUUACUGGGCGUAAAGCGUGCGCAGGCGGCGCGAUCAGUCGGGGGUGAAAGCCCGAGGCUCAACCUCGGAAAUGCCUUCGAUACUGUCGCGCUCGAGUACGGAAGAGGGUCGCGGAAUUCUUGGUGUAGAGGUGAAAUUCGUAGAUAUCAGGAAGAACACCAGUGGCGAAAGCGGCGACCUGGUCCGAAACUGACGCUCAUGCACGAGAGAGUGGGGAGCAAACAGG
rnacentral:rRNA from 1 species